GGAGAUGUACCCAAGUGGUUGAAGGGUCCGGAUUCGAAAUCCGGUAGGUCGGUUCCGCCGGCGCUGGGGUUCAAAUCCCCACAUCUCCGCCA
rnacentral:tRNA from 1 species